rnacentral:tRNA from 1 species
GCAGCUCGUGGGCGGUGGCGGCGCGCAGCGCCUCCAGGGUGCGGGUGGUGCGCAGGGAGGGCGUCGUACCGGCGUGGCGGAGCUGCA